AAAGUUUUAUGUACCUGUUCCGUGUUAGAUGUUAGAUUUCAAGUAGAGUGUUAGAUUUCAACUUUUAUACAAGAGGUGUGUACAGCUAUUAUAGAAGGAUUAAAAUAAUACAUCAAGAUGCCGUCAGGAGUAACAGAAUAGAAACAAGUUGCAAAAGAUUUCGAGGGAAGAAGUUCAAUUUAUCAAUCGAUAUGAUACAUACGUAAUACAGAGAUAUGUACAUUUAUAAUGACUAAAAUAUUUUAUUAAAGAUACUUACGUUAGAA